UACAAAUUAAAAUUCAUUUGUCUCUUGAUAUAAAAUACCACAAUCUAGUGAUGACAUCCCAAACCACCAAGAUCUCUGAUGUA
rfam:Erinaceus europaeus unplaced genomic scaffold scaffold00071, whole genome shotgun sequence